UACGUAGGGUGCAAGCGUUAAUCGGAAUUACUGGGCGUAAAGCGUACGCAGGCGGCUUUGCAAGACAGGUGUGAAAUCCCCGGGCCUAACCUGGGAACUGCAUUUGUGACUGCAUAGCUAGAGUUUGUCAGAGGGGGGUGGAAUUCCACGUGUAGCAGUGAAAUGCGUAGAGAUGUGGAGGAACACCGAUGGCGAAGGCAGCCCCCUGGGAUGAGACUGACGCUCAUGUACGAAAGCGUGGGGAGCAAACAGG
rnacentral:rRNA from 1 species